rnacentral:tRNA from 1 species
GAGGGUAGAGCUCAGUGGUAGAGUGUGUGCCUAGCAUGCAUAAGGUCAUGGGUUCAAUCCCCAGUACUUCCA